AAGACGCUAGUUAAGUUGCCAUAACACUGCCUUGUCAAGGCAGAAUUGUAGGUUAAACCCCUGCGUGUCUUG
rnacentral:tRNA from 1 species